rnacentral:rRNA from 1 species
GACGAACGCUGGCGGCGUGCCUAAUACAUGCAAGUGGGACGCAAGGGAACACACUGUGCUUGCACACCGUGUUUUCUUGAGUCGCGAACGGGUGAGUAACGCGUAGGUAACCUGCCUAUUAGCGGGGGAUAACUAUUGGAAACGAUAGCUAAUACCGCAUAAUAUUAAUUAUUGCAUGAUAAUUGAUUGAAAGAUGCAAGCGCAUCACUAGUAGAUGGACCUGCGUUGUAUUAGCUAGUUGGUAAGGUAAGAGCUUACCAAGGCGACGAUACAUAGCCGACCUGAGAGGGUGAUCGGCCACACUGGGACUGAGACACGGCCCAGACUCCUACGGGAGGCAGCAGUAGGGAAUCUUCGGCAAUGGACGAAAGUCUGACCGAGCAACGCCGCGUGAGUGAAAGAAAGGUUUUUCGGGAUCGUAAAAGCUCUGUUGUAAAGUCAAAGAAACGUGUGUG